UACAGAGGGGGCAAGCGUUGUUCGGAAUUACUGGGCGUAAAGGGUUCGUAGGUGGCCAAUUAAGUCAGACGUGAAAUCCCUCAGCUUAACUGGGGAACUGCGUCUGAGACUGGAUGGCUUGAGUGCAGGAGAGGAACGCGGAAUUCCAGGUGUAGCGGUGAAAUGCGUAGAUAUCAGGAGGAACGCCGGUGGUGUAGACGGCUUUCUGGACCGUAACUGACGCUGAGACACGAAAGCGUGGGUAGCAAACAGG
rnacentral:rRNA from 1 species